UGGGCAACCUACCCUUGACUCUGGGAUAACUCCGGGGAAACCGGAGCUAAUACCGGAUACGAGACCGAUUGGCAUCUAUACGGUCUGGAAAGUUUUUCGGCCAGGGAUGGGCUCGCGGCCUAUCAGCUUGUUGGUGGGGUAAUGGCCCACCAAGGCGACGACGGGUAGCCGGCCUGAGAGGGCGAUCGGCCACACUGGGACUGAGACACGGCCCAGACUCCUACGGGAGGCA
rnacentral:rRNA from 1 species